AGGAAUCGAUGAUGGACUCGGGCAAAACCCUAGCAGAAAUCAGCGACCGGUAUGGGGCGCCUAACUUGAGCCGAGUGGAAGAACUGGAUGAACCAAUGUUAUCCGAUAUUGCCUUAAACAUUGAUCAAGAUCUGUAGGACCAACCAACUGAAAAGAAAUAUUUUCUACCUGCUUCAAACUUCAAAUCACAAGGACCCUAAGCAUGUAUUUUUCUCCUUCCAAACUUGAACUCUAACCCCCCAUACCCAUUAAUUUUAUAAACAGGCUUCAAGUGUAUCCUUAAAAUAAAGUUUAGAUAUCUCAA
rnacentral:lncRNA from 1 species